CAUUAAUUUCUUUUCCAAAUUUAACAUAUACCAAAUACAGAUAUUUCGCAUAUGCACGCAAGAACACUAGUACAACCUAAAGCUUGUGUCUCAGUGAUGGAACCCUUUGUUUCUUGUUAGGGAGUUGAGGUGUCGAGCCUCACAACCAGAAAAAUUGCACAAGUAUUUGAAUAUUGGUCAGCUUCGAUUGUACGGUACAUUCCAGCUGAGGAGAUACCGGUUCAGUAGGGUGGCUUCAAGAGAGAAAAUGACACCGAGUUCUUUUCCUCCGACGAUGGUUCUGUUUCUGAGCUAAUUCUCAAGGCCGGAUCAACCCAAACAUAGAGAUUGAUGUAGCUGAGGUUGAUAAUAGCACAUUGGUUUGGGAUGUGAGUGUUUUGGGAUGGGAAGUGAAUUACAAGGAGAGUUUGUUCCUAGUGAUGAAGGGUCAUACACCAUUAUUGUUCAGAAGAAGAAGAAGAUCGGAGCUAAUGAAGGACCUAUUCGCAACACUUUCCGAAGCAAUGAGCCAGGAAAGGUUGUCCAGACAAUCGAGAACACGUCGAGCAAGAAGAGGGUGCUGUACCGGCACAAGUCCAACAAGUGCUUUUGAGAAUUGAGCGGAGGGUUGAGGAAGAAACAUGGGACAUAGUGGGAGAGCAUUAUAUAUAUACAUAUUAGAAUUGAUUCUUUUGCAGACUGGGAACAAUUAAUAAGUGUGUGUGAAGCUAUAGAAAUUGAUAGUUCAUUCUUUUGCAGAAUCACUAUGGUCCUGUGUUUGAUAUGUUUUGAAGUGUAUCAUUUCCUUGUUUUGGGAUUUUCAUCCUGCAGACUUUG